UACGGGGGGGGGCAAGCGUUGUUCGGAAUUACUGGGCGUAAAGGGCGCGUAGGCGGUUUGCUAAGUCGAAUGUGAAAACUCUGGGCUUAACCCAGAGCCUGCAUUCGAUACUGGCAGGCUAGAGUUCUGGAGGGGAUAGCGGAAUUCCUGGUGUAGCGGUGAAAUGCGUAGAUAUCAGGAGGAACACCGGUGGCGAAGGCGGCUAUCUGGAACGGUACUGGACGCUGAGACGCGAAAGCGUGGGGAGCGAACAGG
rnacentral:rRNA from 1 species